GGCAUUUUUGGGCCACAAAACUGCAUCGCACGAAAAAGUACGGCUGUUACUUUCAGCGAACAACAAAUCUCAUGAAGAAACAUUUUUCAUUGUAGAGCAGAACGUGCCGGUAACACUGAGUGGCUCAGCGGCGGAACGUUUGGGGUUCAUCAGACGCUUGCAGAGCAUUGAAUACGAACACAUUUACCCCCUCAGCACAGCCUUUUGCCGAAGUCUUCAAAGGACUCGGCCAGCUAAGGGACUUCGAGUACGAAAUGAAGCUCAAGCCCGGUGCCGCGGGUAUCGUCGUGCCAGCUAGAAGAGUCGCUGUGGCCCUUCAAGACGAGGUGAAGACCGAACUACAGCGCAUGGAAGAACAAGGAGUAACCAAGCAACCGACAGCAAUCCAACCCUGCUCAAGCUACGAGGAUAUGUGGAAACAAGCCGGCCGGACAAUAAACGCGAUAUCCCGGAAGCCGUGCGCCCCUACUGGUCAUACCGGGAGGACAUACACACCCAGGAUGGCCUACUGUUCCGCAGCGAUAAGGGAUGCGAUGCUGAAGUCCCCUGCGCAGAGACUCAUGGGACGACUCACUAGAACUCUGCUCCCAGUACCCACAACGCACCUGGUGCCAGAGAUGGUGCCCUGCAAAGCUGUUCACCGCCAUCUGCAGGAAAUCCAUCAGCGCCAGAAAAUCUACAACCGGGGCUCCAGACAGCUGCCUCCCCCCCCCUCCCCCCCCUCGCAGGGGCAACAGGUAACAGCGUACGACACUCUUCACCGGACCUGGGCACCUGCUGUAUUCCUAAGGCCAGCGGAAGCACCACGUUCAGCGAUCCUGAAAACGGAAGACGGCCAGGAGAUUAGGUGGACCCGAGAGCAUCUACGCGACGUGGCCCCACAACCACACGAUCCUCUAGAGACUGAUGCCUCAUACGUCGAACCUCCUUUCCCAGUGCUACGACGAAGCAUACGGCAACGUCGCAAGCCCUGUCUGUACCCAUUGCCU